CAACUCGUAACGGUGGAUGUCUUGGCUCCUACAUCGAUGAAGAACGCAGCAAACUGCGAAACGUAAUGCGAAUUGCAGAACUC
rnacentral:rRNA from 1 species